GACCCCAGGUCAGGCGGGACUACCCGCUGAAUUUAA
rnacentral:rRNA from 5 species